AACAAACGCUGGCGGCGUGCCUAAUACAUGCAAGUCGAACGGGGAAAGCUUUCGGGUGAGUACGAGUGGCGCACGGUUGAGGCACGCGGGUAUAUUCUGCCUUAGAGUGGGGGAUAACUUGUCGAGAGAUCAGAUAAUCCCGUAUAAGAACACAGGAACUGCGGCCCAAGGGGUCAAAGGUUUUUCGCUCUAAGGUGAGUCCGCGUAAGAUUAGCUAGUUGGAGAGGUAACGGCUCACCAAGGCGACGAUCUUUAACUGGUCUGAGAGGAUGAUCAGUCACACUGGAACUGAGACACGGUCCAGACUCCUACGGGAGGCAGCAGUAGGGAAUAUUGCACAAUGGAGGAAACUCUGAUGCAGCGACGCCGCGUGAGUGAUGAAGGCCUUCGGGUCGUAAAGCUCUGUCGCAGGGGAAUAACACAAUGAAGGUACCCUGUAAGAAAGGAUCGGCUAACUUCGUGCCAGCAGCCGCGGUAACAC
rnacentral:rRNA from 1 species